rnacentral:SRP_RNA from 1 species
GCUGGGCAUGGUAGCGCGUGCCUGUAAUCCCAGCUACUCGGGAGGCUGAGGCAGGAGAAUCGUUUGAACCCAGGAGGUGGAGUUUGCAGUGAGCUGAGACUGCGCCACUGCACUCCAGCCUGGGCAACAGAGCGAGCCUCUGUCUCAA